AAGUCGUAACAAGGUUUCCGUAGGUGAACCUGCGGAAGGAUCAUUAUUGAAUUACAAGCGAGGGUUGUCGCUGGCCUCUCGGGGCAUGUGCACGCCCGAGCCAUCCCCCCCAACAAACACCGUGGGCCUUCGGGCCCGCGUAUAUUUACUCUGAAUGUGUAUAGAAUGUAAACCAUUUGUUUGCCCUGAAAAAGCAAACGAAAAAAAAAUACAACUUUCAACAACGGAUCUCUUGGCUCUCGCAUCGAUGAAGAACGCAGCGAAAUGCGAUAAGUAAUGUGAAUUGCAGAUUUUCAGUGAAUCAUCGAAUCUUUGAACGCACCUUGCGCCCCUUGGUAUUCCGGGGGGCAUGCCUGUUUGAGUGUCAUUAAAUCCUCAACCGCGCCGAUUGAUUUCGGUGGGGCUUGGACUUUGGAGCGUGCUGGCGAAGGUCGGCUCCUCUUUAAAUGCAUCAGCGGAAGAAACCUUUGUCUUUCCUGCCUUCGGUGUGAUAAUUGUGUUGCGCCGCGGUGGAACUUCAACGAUCCGCUUACAACGGUCUUCGGACGAAACCUCAUGUCAUCUUGACCUCAAAUCAGGUAGGACUACCCGCUGAACUUAA
rnacentral:sRNA from 1 species